rnacentral:rRNA from 1 species
AUUGAACGCUGGCGGCAUGCUUUACACAUGCAAGUCGAACGGCAGCGCGGGCUUCGGCCUGGCGGCGAGUGGCGAACGGGGGAGUAAUACAUCGGAACGUGCCCAGUAGUGGGGGAUAGCUCGGCGAAAGCCGGAGUAAUACCGCAUACGACCUGAGGGUGAAAGCGGGGGAGCUUCGGACCUCGGGGUAUUGGAGGGGCGGAUGGCAGAUUAGCUAGUUGGUGGGGUAGAGGCCUACCAAGGCGUCGAUGGGUAGCUGGCCUGAGAGGGCGACCGGCCACAUUGGGACGGAGAUACGGCCCAGGCUCCUACGGGAGGGAGCAGUGGGGAAUAGUAGACAAUAGGCGGAAGCCUGAUGCAGCAACGCCGCGUGCGGGAUGACGGCCUUCGGGUUGUAAACCGCAUUCGCCUGUGACGAAGCGUGAGUGACGGUAAUGGGUAAAGAAGCACCGGCUAACUACGUG